rnacentral:rRNA from 1 species
GACGAACGCUGGCGGCGUGGAUUAGGCAUGCAAGUCGAACGGUAUCAUCCUUUCGGGGGUGAGAGAGUGGCGAACUGGUGAGUAACACGUAGGUUAUCUACCCUCAAGACGGGGACAACCCAGGGAAACUUGGGCUAAUACCGGAUGUGAGCAACUUUUAGUUGUUUGAAAGGUGGCGUAAGCUGUCGCUUGGGGAUGAGCCUGCGUCCUAUUAGUUAGUUGGUGAGGUAACGGCUCACCUAGGCAAUGAUAGGUAGGCGGCCUUAACGGGUGGUCGCCCACACUGGGAUUGAGAUACGGCCCAGACUCCUACGGGAGGCAGCAGUCGAGAAUAGUCUACAAUGGUCGGAAGACUGAUAGUGCGACGCCGCGUGAACGAUGAAUCCCUUCGGGGUGUAAAGUUCUUUUAUAUGUGAGCAGUGCUUCUAUAUUAACAGUAUGGGGAAGAGAUAUUAGCAUAUGAAUAAGCAACGGCUAACUCCGUGCCAGCAGCCGCGGUA